rnacentral:rRNA from 1 species
GAACGAACGCUAGCGGCGUGGAUAAGACAUGCAAGUCGGACGGGAUUACUUUUGGUAGCAAUACCGAAAGUGAUCCAGUGGCGAACGGGUGCGUAACACGUGGGCAAUCUACCGAGAAGUGGGGGAUAGCUCGCCGAAAGGCGAAUUAAUACCGCAUGUGAUCAGAGGCGACAUCGCUUCGAAAUCAAAGGUGGCGCAAGCUACCGCUUUUUGAGGAGCCCGCGGCCUAUCAGCUUGUUGGUGAGGUAACGGCUCACCAAGGCUUUGACGGGUAGCUGGUCUGAGAGGACGACCAGUCACACUGGGACUGAGACACGGCCCAGACACCUACGGGUGGCAGCAGUCGAGAAUUUUUCUCAAUGGGGGAAACCCUGAAGGAGCGACGCCGCGUGGAGGAUGAAGGUCUUCGGGUUGUAAACUCCUGUCAUUUGGGAACAAGGCUCCGAAGAGUAACUGUUUCGGAGUUGAUAGUACCAGAAGAGGAAGAGACGGCUAACUCUGUGCCAGCAGCCGCGGUAAUACAGAGGUCUCAAGCGUUGUUCGGAUUCAUUGGGCGUAAAGGGUGCGUAGGCGGCGCGGUAAGUCGGGUGUGAAAUUUCGAGGCUUAACUUCGAAACUGCAUUCGAUACUGCCGUGCUUGAGGACUGGAGAGGAGACUGGAAUUUACGGUGUAGCGGUGAAAUGCGUAGAUAUCGUAAGGAAGACCAGUGGCGAAGGCGGGUCUCUGGACAGUUCCUGACGCUGAGGCACGAAGGCCAGGGGAGCAAACGGGAUUAGAUACCCCGGUAGUCCUGGCAAUAAACGGUGCACGUUUGGUGUGGGAGGAUUCGACCCCUUCUGCGCCGGAGCUAACGCGUUAAACGUGCCGCCUGGGGAGUACGGUCGCAAGAUUAAAACUCAAAGAAAUUGACGGGGGCCCGCACAAGCGGUGGAGUAUGUGGCUUAAUUCGAUGCAACGCGAAGAACCUUACCUGGCCUUGACAUGCAUCUCUAAGCUGGUGAAAGCCAGUGAGUCCCGAAAGGGACAAUUUGCACAGGUGCUGCAUGGCUGUCGUCAGCUCGUGUCGUGAGAUGUUGGGUUAAGUCCCGCAACGAGCGCAACCCCUGUGAACUGUUGCCACCCCGGCGUGAGUCGGGAGCACUCUGGACAGACUGCCUCGCUUAAACGAGGAGGAAGGUGGGGAUGACGUCAAGUCAGUAUGGCCCUUACGGCCAGGGCUGCACACGUACUACAAUGCCCGGCACAAAGGGAAGCGAGACCGUCAGGUGGAGCAAAUCCCCAAAAACCGGGCCCAGUUCAGAUUGUCGUCUGCAACUCGACGGCAUGAAGUUGGAAUCGCUAGUAAUGGCGCAUCAGCUACGGCGCCGU